rnacentral:rRNA from 1 species
UACGGAGGAUCCGAGCGUUAUCCGGAUUUAUUGGGUUUAAAGGGUGCGCAGGCGGAAGAUUAAGUCGGCGGUGAAAUUUUGCAGCUCAACUGUAAAAGUGCCAUCGAUACUGGUUUUCUUGAGUGUGGAUGAAGUAGGCGGAGUUUGUGGUGUAGCGGUGAAAUUCAUAGAUAUCACGAGGAACUCCGAUUGCGCAGGCAGCUUACUAAACUACUACUGACGCUCAGGCACGAAGGCGUGGGGAUCAAACAGGAUUAGAUACCCGCGUA